rnacentral:rRNA from 1 species
GAGUAAUGCCUAGGAAUCUGCCUGGUAGUGGGGGACAACGUUUCGAAAGGAACGCUAAUACCGCAUACGUCCUACGGGAGAAAGCAGGGGACCUUCGGGCCUUGCGCUAUCAGAUGAGCCUAGGUCGGAUUAGCUAGUUUGAGGUAAUGGCUCACCAAGGCGACGAUCCGUAACUGGUCUGAGAGGAUGAUCAGUCACACUGGAACUGAGUCACGGUCCAGACGCCUACGGGAGGCAGCAGUGGGGAAUAUUGGACAAUGGGCGAAAGCCUGAUCCAGCCAUGCCGCGUGUGUGAAGAAGGUCUUCGGAUUGUAAAGCACUUUAAGUUGGGAGGAAGGGCUAAGCUAAUACCUUGCUGUUUUGACGUUACCGACAGAAUAAGCACCGGCUAACUCGGUGCCAGCAGCCGCGGUAAUACAGAGGGUGUAAGCGUUAAUCGGAAUUACUGGGCGUAAAGCGCUCGUAGGUGGUUCGUUAAGUUGGAUGUGAAAGCCCCGGGCUCAACCUGGGAACUGCAUCCAAAACUGGCGAGCUAGAGUACGGUAGAGGUGGUGGAAUUUCCUGUGUAGCGGUGAAAUGCGUAGAUAUAGGAAGGAACACCAGUGGCGAAGGCGACCACCGACUGAUACUGACACUGAGGUGCAGCAAACAGGAUUAGAUACCCUGGUAGUCCACGCCGUAAACGAUGUCAACUAGCCGUUGGAAUCCUUGAGAUGGUUAGUGGCGCAGCUAACGCAUUAAGUUGACCGCCUGGGGAGUACGGCCGCAAGGUUAAAACUCAAAUGAAUUGACGGGGGCCCGCACAAGCGGUGGAGCAUGUGGUUAUU